rnacentral:rRNA from 1 species
CCCUUAGAUGUUCUGGGCCGCACGCGCGCUACACUGAUGCAUUCAACGAGUUUCUUCCUGGUCCGAGAGGAAUGGGUAACCUUUUGAAAGUGCAUCGUGAUAGGGAUAGACUAUUGCAAUUAUUGGUCUUCAACGAGGAAUUCCUAGUAGACGUAGUUCAUCAGACUGCAUCGAUUACGUCCCUGCCCUUUGUACACACCGCCCGUCGCUCCUACCGAUUGAACGUUCCGAUGAAUACCAUGGAUUGAGAGUCUGGAUGGGUUCGCCUAUUUCUGCUUCUCGAGAAGUGGAGUAAAUCUUAGCGUUUAGAGGAAGGAGAAGUCGUAACA